UACGAAGGGUGCAAGCGUUAAUCGGAAUUACUGGGCGUAAAGCGUGCGUAGGUGGUCUUUUAAGUCCGUUGUGAAAGCCCUGGGCUCAACCUGGGAACGGCGCGCGAGACGGGGGGGCUGGAGUUCGGGAGAGGAGCGUGGAAUUCCCAGUGUAGAGGUGAAAUUCGUAGAUAUUGGGAGGAACACCAGUGGCGAAGGCGACUACCUGGCCUGUUUCUUGACGCUGAGGCGCGAAAGCUAGGGGAGCAAACGGG
rnacentral:rRNA from 1 species